rnacentral:tRNA from 1 species
GGGCUGGGGCUCAGUGGUAGAGCACAUGUCUAGCCUGUGUGAGGCACUGGGUUCGAUCCUCAGCACCACA